GCAUAUCAAUAAGCGGAGGAAAAGAAACUAACAAGGAUUCCCCUAGUAACGGCGAGUGAAGAGGGAACAGCCCAAAUUUGUAAUCUGGCCCCUUUGGGGUCCGAGUUGUAAUCUCGAGAACUGUUUUCCGCGCUGGACCAUGUACAAGUCUGUUGGAAUAUAGCUUCAUAGAGGGUGAGAAUCCCGUACAUGACAUGGACUACCAGUGCUUUGCGAUACAGUCUCUAAGAGUCGAGUUGUUUGGGAAUGCAGCUCAAAUUGGGUGGUAAAUUCCAUCUAAGGCUAAAUAUUGGCGAGAGACCGAUAGCGAACAAGUACCGUGAGGGAAAGAUGAAAAGCACUUUGGAAAGAGAGUUAACAGUACGUGAAAUUGUUGAAAGGGAAACGCUUGAAGUCAGCCUUGUUCUUGGUUGUUCAGCCCUUGCGGCGUAUUCAACCUUGAGCAGGCCAGCAUCAGUUUUGAGUGCUGGAUAAGGGCUUAGGAAAUGUGGCAGCCUUGGCUGUGUUAUAGUCCUUUGCUUGAUACAGUGCCCUGGGACUGAGGAAUGCAGCGAGCCUUUUUGGCGGGUCCAUUUUAUGGACCUUCUCGCUUUGGAUGCUGGCGUAAUGGCUUUAAACGACCCGUCUUGAAACACGGACCA
rnacentral:rRNA from 1 species